UGGGGGGUGCUUGCUACCUGCCGGCGAGUGGCGAACGGGUGAGUAAUACAUCGGAACGUGCCCUGUAGUGGGGGAUAACUAGUCGAAAGACUAGCUAAUACCGCAUACGACCUGAGGGUGAAAGUGGGGGACCGCAAGGCCUCAUGCUAUAGGAGCGGCCGAUGUCUGAUUAGCUAGUUGGUGGGGUAAGGGCCCACCAAGGCGACGAUCAGUAGCUGGUCUGAGAGGACGAUCAGCCACACUGGGACUGAGACACGGCCCAGACUCCUACGGGAGGCAGCAGUGGGGAAUUUUGGACAAUGGGGGCAACCCUGAUCCAGCAAUGCCGCGUGUGUGAAGAAGGCCUUCGGGUUGUAAAGCACUUUUGUCCGGAAAGAAAUCGCACUGGUUAAUACCUGGUGUGGAUGACGGUACCGGAAGAAUAAGGACCGGCUAACUACGUGCCAGCAGCCGCGGUAAUACGUAGGGUCCAAGCGUUAAUCGGAAUUACUGGGCGUAAAGCGUGCGCAGGCGGUUGUGCAAGACCGAUGUGAAAUCCCCGGGCUUAACCUGGGAAUUGCAUUGGUGACUGCACGGCUAGAGUGUGUCAGAGGGAGGUAGAAUUCCACGUGUAGCAGUGAAAUGCGUAGAGAUGUGGAGGAAUACCGAUGGCGAAGGCAGCCUCCUGGGAUAACACUGACGCUCAUGCACGAAAGCGUGGGGAGCAAACAGGAUUAGAUACCCUGGUAGUCCACGCCCUAAACGAUGUCAACUAGUUGUUGGGGAUUCAUUUCCUUAGUAACGUAGCUAACGCGUGAAGUUGACCGCCUGGGGAGUACGGUCGCAAGAUUAAAACUCAAAGGAAUUGACGGGGACCCGCACAAGCGGUGGAUGAUGUGGAUUAAUUCGAUGCAACGCGAAAAACCUUACCUACCCUUGACAUGCCACUAACGAAGCAGAGAUGCAUUAGGUGCUCGAAAGAGAAAGUGGACACAGGUGCUGCAUGGCUGUCGUCAGCUCGUGUCGUGAGAUGUUGGGUUAAGUCCCGCAACGAGCGCAACCCUUGUCUCUAGUUGCUACGAAAGGGCACUCUAGAGAGACUGCCGGUGACAAACCGGAGGAAGGUGGGGAUGACGUCAAGUCCUCAUGGCCCUUAUGGGUAGGGCUUCACACGUCAUACAAUGGUGCAUACAGAGGGUUGCCAAGCCGCGAGGUGGAGCUAAUCCCAGAAAAUGCAUCGUAGUCCGGAUCGUAGUCUGCAACUCGACUACGUGAAGCUGGAAUCGCUAGUAAUCGCGGAUCAGCAUGCCGCCGAUGCGCC
rnacentral:rRNA from 1 species